GACGAACGCUGGCGGCGUGCCUAAUACAUGCAAGUAGAACGCUGAAGGAGGAGCUUGCUCUUCUGGAUGAGUUGCGAACGGGUGAGUAACGCGUAGGUAACCUGCCUGGUAGCGGGGGAUAACUAUUGGAAACGAUAGCUAAUACCGCAUAACAGUAGAUGUUGCAUGACAUUUGCUUAAAAGGUGCAAUUGCACCACUACCAGAUGGACCUGCGUUGUAUUAGCUAGUUGGUGGGGUAACGGCUCACCAAGGCGACGAUACAUAGCCGACCUGAGAGGGUGAUCGGCCACACUGGGACUGAGACACGGCCCAGACUCCUACGGGAGGCAGCAGGAGGGAAUCUUCGGCAAUGGACGGAAGUCUGACCGAGCAACGCCGCGGGAGUGAAGAAGGUUUUCGGAUCGUAAAGCUCUGUUGUAAGAGAAGAACGAGUGUGAGAGUGGAAAGUUCACACUGUGACGGUAUCUUACCAGAAAGGGACGGCUAACUACGUG
rnacentral:rRNA from 1 species